rnacentral:lncRNA from 1 species
UUUGAUCUCUGAUUUAUGUCGUCCACUUGUGUGCUCUUAUGUUCCAAGGUCAGUUCAACUGCAAGUGCAGCCGGGUAAUUGGAAAGAAGGCGAUGAUUAAUCAGUUCCAUUUUCAACAAUUGACUGUCAAAUGUUAGUUUGUCUUUUGGUAUAUAUCAUCCAUCUAUAAUUUAACCCAAAUUUUUAUUUGUUUUAAGUUAAGUGGUACAUUAUUUCUAAGUUUUUCUCAAUUGUUAUAAUUUUAACAUAUGGUAUAUUUUUCCCAA